rnacentral:rRNA from 1 species
UACGGGGGGAGCAAGCGUUGUUCGGAUUUACUGGGCGUAAAGGGCGCGUAGGCGGCCACCGCAAGUCGACUGUGAAAUCUCCAGGCUUAACCCGGAAAGGCAGCCGAUACUGCGGGGCUAGAGUGCAGAAGGGGCAACUGGAAUUCUCGGUGUAGCGGUGAAAUGCGUAGAUAUCGAGAGGAACACCUGCGGCGAAGGCGGGUUGCUGGGCUGACACUGACGCUGAGGCGCGAAAGCUAGGGGAGCGAACGGG